UUGAUCGAGAAGCUCCACUCGUCGCGCAGGCCGGUCAGCGCCUGCUCGCCGAAGUACUCGCCUUCACCGAUCGUGUCGAGCACGGUGUCCGCGCCGUACUCACCUUGGCCGAUCUUGUCCGCCUUGCCGUGUGCCAUCAGCACGAGCCGGUCGGCGUGACCUCCUCUCUGGAUGAUCAGGUCUCCCGGUUCGAACUCCUGCUGCUCGAACCGGCCGGCCAGUGCGGCCAGCGUCUCGUCGUCGUCCAGAUCGUGCAGCAGAGCCAGUUCACGCAGUUCCGGCGGCACCACCUGGACACGGCCCGCACUGCUGGUGAAGCUGACCAACCCGUCGCCGAUGGCGUACGUGAGCCGCCGGUUCACGCGGUACGUGCCGCCUUCGGCCUGUACCCAUGGCAGGACGCGCAACAACCACCGCGGCGUGAUCCCCUGCAUCUGCGGUACGGACUUGGUCGUCGUCGCCAGAUUUCGCGCCGCGGCGGUGCCGAGGCUCAUCUGCUGCGACUG
rnacentral:antisense_RNA from 1 species